UGGGGAAUAUUGCACAAUGGGCGCAAGCCUGAUGCAGCCAUGCCGCGUGUAUGAAGAAGGCCUUCGGGUUGUAAAGUACUUUCAGCGAGGAGGAAGGCGGUAAGGUUAAUAACCUUAUCGAUUGACGUUACUCGCAGAAGAAGCACCGGCUAACUCCGUGCAAGCAGCCGCGGUAAUACGGAGGGUGCAAGCGUUAAUCGGAAUUACUGGGCGUAAAGCGCACGCAGGCGGUCUGUCAAGUCGGAUGUGAAAUCCCCGGGCUCAACCUGGGAACUGCAUUCGAAACUGGCAGGCUAGAGUCUUGUAGAGGGGGGUAGAAUUCCAGGUGUAGCGGUGAAAUGCGUAGAGAUCUGGAGGAAUACCGGUGGCGAAGGCGGCCCCCUGGACAAAGACUGACGCUCAGGUGCGAAAGCGUGGGGAGCAAACA
rnacentral:rRNA from 1 species